UACGUAGGGUGCAAGCGUUGUCCGGAAUUAUUGGGCGUAAAGAGCUCGUAGGCGGUUUGUCGCGUCUGCUGUGAAAACCCGGGGCUCAACCUCGGGCCUGCAGUGGGUACGGGCAGACUAGAGUGCGGUAGGGGAGAUUGGAAUUCCUGGUGUAGCGGUGGAAUGCGCAGAUAUCAGGAGGAACACCAAUGGCGAAGGCAGAUCUCUGGGCCGUAACUGACGCUGAGGAGCGAAAGCAUGGGGAGCGAACAGG
rnacentral:rRNA from 1 species